rnacentral:lncRNA from 1 species
UGUGUUCUAAUAAAACUUUAUUUAUGGACAUUAAAAUGCCACAUUUUCGCAUGUCACAAAAUAUUCUUCUUUUGAAGUUUUCAAUCGUUGAAAAUGUAAAAAGCAUUUUUCCCUCACAGACCGUACAAAAGCAGGCAUGGAGGCAAUACUGUGGCCUCUGGGCCAUCGUUCGUACACACCUUCCCCAAAAGGCUCAGAUAGGCGAGAGAGCAGGGAGGCUCCAGAGUUGGCUGGAGUCUAGUUGGCUGAGUCCAGUCACUCAGGUUGGCUGCAGCCCAGGAGUCCCAGGAGCGAGGAGCAGCAGGGCUGGGCCAAGAGUGGAGAGGGCUGAGGACAAACCCAUAGGGCCUCGAAGGCCCCAGGAAGAGAUGUUGUCACAGCUGACUCAGCCCCGUGCUCAGACUCCAGUGUUACCAGGUCCUGAAUGUGAGACGCAGGCGUCUGCUUCUCCGAGCUUCAGUUACUUCAGCUGUAAAAUGGGACACUGGCAUUGACCUUGAAGGUCAUGAUGCAUGGAAAGAGAGGGUUAGAUCUUGUGAAAGGGGCUGAGGCUGGUGCCUAUCCCGCACUUGAAGGGCUCAGCACUGGGUUCCCAAGGCCCUUUUUAAGAUCCAAUUUCCCUGGUGCUUUGAGGAGGGUGGGGGACAUCAGAAGACCCUCUUGCUGGGAACAUCCACUUCCCGAUGCCUCCUCCUUUGACGUCGUGAGCCACAGGCCACCAAGCAGGUUCUGCGGCAGCA